AGAACGACCGAGUUUCUCUCAGCCGAGAACUGUGGCUGCCCCUCCGGUGAAAACAGAGGAAGUGGGAGCGGCAGGAAGCGCUUUGGGACCAGGGCGACCCCUGAAGCGUAGAGGAACCAGGUCACAAGCAUACGUGAAUGCUCACAUUCCAUAGUUAUCAAAUGUAUUCAGGUUUAAAUUUUACUUUUCUAGAAAAAAUGUAAAUAAUCCGUUGAGAAUAUUUAAUGAAAAAUGUUGGUCGUAUCUUUAUCUGGUCUGCGGCUCUGUCCCUGUUUCCUGGAUAGGAGACUACGUCUGUAUCUUGUAUCACAGGAGGCACCUUCUUCCUGUUUCCUGGCACAGACUUUAAAUCUUAGUGCUCCUCACUCUUUGCGUCUACGCUGCUUUUAUGAACUGUUAACACUCACUGUGAAGGUCUGCAGCUUCACUCCUUAAGCCAGCGAGACCACAAACCCACUGGGAGGGAUAAACAACUCCAGACGGGAGGAACAAACAACUUCGGGUGCACCACCUUUAUGAACUGUAGCACUCACUGUGAAGGUCUGCAGCUUCACUCCUGAGGCCAGCAAGACCACGAACCCACCAGAAGGAACGAACAACUCCAGAUAUGCCACCUUUAAGGGCUAUAACACUCACCGCGGAAGUCUGCAGCUUCACUCCUGAAGUCAGUGAGACCAUGAACCCACCAGAAGGAAGAAACUCUGGACACAUCUGAACAUCUGAAGGAACAAACUCUGGACACACCAUCUUUAAGAACUGUAACACUCACCGCGAGGGUACACGGCUUCAUUCUUGAAGUCAGCGAGACUAAGAACCCAACAAUUCCGGACACAGCAUGAUCUUGGUUCACUACAACCUGGAUCUCCCAGAGUCAAGCAAUCCUCUCGUCUCAGUCUCCCAAGUAGCUGGAACUACAGGUGUGUGCCACCAUGCCCCACUAAUUUUUGUAUUUAUUGUAGAGACGGUUUCAGCAUGUUGCCCAGGCUGGUCUCCAACUCCUGGACUCAAGUGAUCCUCUCCACCUAGGCCUCCCACAGUGCUGGGAUUACAGGAAUGAGCCACCACGCCCGGCCUAAUUGGAAGUUUUAGAGUGCAGUGGGGAUCACGUGCGUAGAGGUUACUGCUGCCUUAAUUAAAGGAGACAACAUGUUUCAUAAAACUUGGAAAUUGUAGAGGGUGUGGGGAACCACUCAAAUUCAGAAUAUCAAAACAGA